rnacentral:piRNA from 1 species
GGAUCAAGUGCUUCAACACAUGAGC